AGUUCAUCUGUCAGAAUUAGAAAAAUAGCUGGAACCAAAAAACAAACUGGAAUCCUUUCAAGGAUGAGAAUGUGAAAUUUAUUGACGAAAUUCAACCUAAAACUCCACAAAUAACUAAUAAGAGAACUGCACUGAACAGUGUUUCCACUACGACUGCAACGAGCCAAAUUUCAUUGGAAAACAGCAACAAGAAACUGGUCCAGCGAUGACAGUUAAUCAAGAGGGAGUAUUGGCUACUGCCUACCGGAGGUGAGAGUUUUUUUUUUUUUUUUUUUU